rnacentral:rRNA from 1 species
UACGAAGGGUGCAAACGUUGCCCGGAAUCAUUGGGCGUAAAGCGCACGUAGGCGGCCCCAAAAGUUGGAUGUGAAAUCCCUCGGCUCAACCGAGGACGUGCAUCCAAAACUGUGGGGCUUGAGUACUGAAGAGGAUCGCGGAAUUCCCGGUGUAGAGGUGAAAUUCGUAGAUAUCGGGAGGAACACCAGUGGCGAAGGCGGCGAUCUGGGCAGAUACUGACGCUGAGGUGCGAAAGCGUGGGGAGCAAACAGG